CCGAAAGUCCAAGGGUUCCCGGGCCAGGUGAAUCCUCCCGGGGUUAGUCGGGUCCUAAGCCGAGGCCGAAAGGCGUAGGCGAUGGAAAACAGGCGCAAAGAUUCCUGUACCACCUUGCAGCCGUUUGAGCAAUGGGGUGACGCAGGAGGAUAGGACAGCUGCCUAUCGGAUGGCAGUCUAAGCGUGUGGGCCGCAGUCCAGGCAAAUCCGGGCUGCACAAGGCUGAGGCGUUAAGGGACGCGAAUCUCUUCGGAGGGACGCGGAUUGUCUGAUUCCACACUGCCAAGAAAAACCUCUAGCGAGGCUGCGGGUGCCCGUACCGCAAACCAACACAGGUGGACGAGAAGAGUAUUCUAAGGCGCUCGGGUGAUCCGCUCUCAAGGAACUCGACCAAUUAGCCCCGUAACUUCGGAAGAAGGGGUGCUACCGUCGGUGAAGGCCCUCGCGGCCGGAGCUGCCGGAAGUGACACUAAAGUGGCUCGGGCGACUGUUUACUAAAAACACAGGUCUCUGCAAAGUCGCAAGACGACGUAUAGGGACUGACGCCUGCCCAAUGCCGGAAGGUUAACGGGAGAGGUCAGCGCAAGCGAAGCCUUGAACCGAAGCCCCGGUUAAUGGCGGCCGUAACUAUAACGGUCCUAAGGUAGCGAAAUUCCUUGUCGGGUAAGUUCCGACCUGCACGAAUGGCGUAACGAUCCGAGCAUUGUCUCGAGAGCGGGCCCGGUGAAGUUGUAAUACGAGUGAAGAUGCUCGUUACCCGCAUAAGGACGGCAAGACCCCGUGCACCUUUACUACAGCUUGAUAUUGGGUUUAGUUGCAACUUGUAUAGGAUAGGUGGGAGACGUCGAAGCUGGAGCGCAAGCUUCGGUGGAGUCACCCUUGGAAUACCACCCUGGUUGUUAUUGAAUCCUAACUCCGAACCCGUGAAUCCGGGCGGAGGACAGUGUCUGGUGGGUAGUUUGACUGGGGCGGUCGCCUCCAAAAGAGUAACGGAGGCGCCCAAAGGUUCCCUCAGCAUGUUUGGAAAUCAUGCGAAGAGUGUAAAGGCAUAAGGGAGCUUGACUGCGAGACCUACAAGUCGAGCAGGUGGGAAACCAGGGCUUAGUGAUCCAGCGGUACCGUAUGGAAGGGCCGUUGUUCAUCGGAUAAAAGGUACGCCGGGGAUAACAGGCUUAUCUCCCCCAAGAGUUCAUAUCGACGGGGAGGUUUGGCACCUCGAUGUCGGCUCGUCACAUCCUGGGGCUGAAGCAGGUCCCAAGGGUUCGUCUGUUCGCCGAUUAAAGUGGUACGCGAGCUGGGUUUAAAACGUCGUGAGACAGUUUGGUCCCUAUCCUAUGCGGGCGCAGGAAAUUUGAUGGAAUCUGACCCUAGUACGAGU
rnacentral:rRNA from 1 species